GCAAAAUAGAUAUUUUAUUUAUAACUUUCUUUUUCUCCUCCAUCAAUGUUUAUGCUUUGAUAUAACUUAUCCUCAUCUUUGAUCCAAGAUUUCAACCUCCGUUCAUCCUAUCAAGGUUGACGACAAGGGUAAGGUAUAAAUUAUGGGUAAGGACGAGGGCAAGAAAAGUCUAAAGCAAUUUUCGCACCCUUCUCCUUCUAAACUCUCUUGAGACGAUGGCUUGACCCUUCGAGAUUCUUAUGACCCUUCUCUGAGCUCGGCAGUUAUGAAGGUGUCAGGUCCUGAAGGAUGUACAGACCCAACUUGUGAAUACCUCUUCACGAGUUGAUAUCUACCUUCGUAUUUGCAUGGAUAUUUCUGAGGGAGCUCAUUAGACUGAGGCUAUCUGACCCACUUGGAUCAAAUUAUAUUGAGCUAAGAAAACUACAUCCCGGGUCCUGAUAAUAAAUGAUGACUGUUAGAAGCCAGGACUACUCAGCUACAACUAAGAGUGCAUAUAAUCCAACUCGUGUUUGCUUGCUUUGGAC
rnacentral:lncRNA from 1 species